rnacentral:tRNA from 1 species
AGGGCCAUUAGCUCAGUUGGUAGAGCAGCGGUCUCCAAAACCGCGUGCCGAGGGUUCAAGUCCUUCUGCCCCUGCCA